rnacentral:rRNA from 1 species
AAGAGACAGCAGUAGCCGCGGUAAUACGAAGGGUGCAAGCGUUAAUCGGAAUUACUGGGCGUAAAGCGUGCGUAGGCGGUUUGUUAAGUCUGCUGUGAAAUCCCCGGGCUCAACCUGGGAAUGGCAGUGGAUACUGGCAAGCUAGAGUGUGUCAGAGGAUGGUGGAAUUCCCGGUGUAGCGGUGAAAUGCGUAGAGAUCGGGAGGAACAUCAGUGGCGAAGGCGGCCAUCUGGGACAACACUGACGCUGAGGCACGAAAGCGUGGGGAGCAAACAGGAUUAGAUACCCCGGUAGUCCCUGUCUCUUAUAC